rnacentral:rRNA from 1 species
UACGUAGGGGGCAAGCGUUGUCCGGAUUUAUUGGGCGUAAAGAGCGUGUAGGCGGCCAGGUAGGUCUGCUGUGAAAACUCGAGGCUUAACCUCGAGAUGUCGGCGGAAACCAUCUGGCUAGAGUCCGGAAGAGGAGAAUGGAAUUCCCGGUGUAGCGGUGAAAUGCGCAGAUAUCGGGAAGAACACCCGUGGCGAAGGCGGUUCUCUGGGACGGUACUGACGCUGGAGACGCGAAAGCGUGGGGAGCGAACAGG